GAUGAACGCUGGCGGCGUGCUUAACACAUGCAAGUCGAACGAUGAAGGGAGCUUGCUCCUGGAUUAGUGGCGAACGGGUGAGUAACACGUGAGUAACCUGCCCUUGACUCUGGGAUAAGCCUGGGAAACUGGGUCUAAUACCGGAUAUGACUGACCGUCGCAUGGUGGUUGGUGGAAAGCUUUUGUGGUUUUGGAUGGACUCGCGGCCUAUCAGCUUGUUGGUGGAGUAAUGGCCUACCAAGGCGACGACGGGUAGCCGGCCUGAGAGGGUGACCGGCCACACUGGGACUGAGACACGGCCCAGACUCCCACGGGAGGCAGCAGUGGGGAAUAUUGCACAAUGGGCGCAAGCCUGAUGCAGCGACGCCGCGUGAGGGAUGACGGCCUUCGGGUUGUAAACCUCUUUCAGUAGGGAAGAAGCGAGAGUGACGGUACCUGCAGAAGAAGCGCCGGCUAAUUACGUGCCAGCAGCCGCCGUAAGAC
rnacentral:rRNA from 1 species